CAGUCGCCGCGGUAAUACGGAGGGAGCUAGCGUUGUUCGGAAUCACUGGGCGUAAAGCGCACGUAGGCGGCUAUUCAAGUCAGGGGUGAAAGCCCGGGGCUCAACCCCGGAACUGCCUUUGAAACUAGAUAGCUUGAAUCUUGGAGAGGCGAGUGGAAUUCCGAGUGUAGAGGUGAAAUUCGUAGAUAUUCGGAAGAACACCAGUGGCGAAGGCGACUCGCUGGACAAGUAUUGACGCUGAGGUGCGAAAGCGUGGGGAGCAAACAGGAUUAGAUACCCCCGUAGUCCCUGUCUCUUAUAC
rnacentral:rRNA from 1 species